rnacentral:lncRNA from 1 species
CCCGCCAUAAAUUGGCAUUCCAAUUUUUUCGAAAGUAUCGCCUAUCUGAUUUAUGAACAUACAUAUACAUAUGCAUGGAUUUAAAUUUCCAAACAUCGAUAAUCGAUUUCUCAGCACCAAUGCGUAUGUGUGUACACUGUACACAUUAGAUUAUUACAAUUCUUUAUUUAACUGGUUUAAAUAUUUCCUGAUCUGAUGCUGUCCAAAAUAAGAACUUUAAAGAAACUCUGUUUUAUAAGUGGUUUGAGUUUCCAUUCGGGCCAUUACAUUCGUCCAUACUCCUUAAUGCGUUCAAAAUUAUGUUUCAACCACGGAAAUUCUUUUAAUCAAAAUUCAAUUGAGCUCAAAGCUUGUACAAUUUAUCUUCCGGAGAGAUUUAUGAGUACAAAAAUAAGCAUACAGCAAGAUCAAGAUAGUUUUUUUAUUAAUCUUGACGGAAUGAAGGCAGAGUUGGGCUAUUUUAUUCGAGACGGAGUUAUGCAUAUUGAUCACACCAAAGUUCCCAAGGAGCUUGGUGGUCAUGGUAUUGGCAAGCUGUUGGCUAAGGUUGGUCGUUUUUAUAUUGCUUUGUUACUAUUUCAUUAAAUAGCGUGCCAGUGUACGGGACCUGGAAACGACUUCUUCUAGCUUCUACAUAUGUACAUACUUACAUAUGUACCUUCAUAUGUACAUAGCUGGUAAGGCAAAAGGGAAGACCCCAGCUGACUUAAACCCAUGCUUUUUUACUGCUUUUUAUUUGCCUGAAUCUAAAACUAAACUUAAAAGAUACAUACAUGGUUGUUUUUGGAUUAAUUGAAUAUUCACCUACCAAUUUUUUAUUUAAAAAUAUUUGUAUUGUUAAGCAAUGUUUCCCGUUGGAUUUAUUUAGACUGAAUUUCAAUACUACUUGUGUAACCUCUGAAUAAGGGGGAGGUGUGUCGCAUACAUACAUACAUAUGUAAAUGUUUAUGGACGUUUUUUGUAUGCCCGAUACUCGAAGGGUAAAUAGGGUAUACCAAAUGUUACAUCCAGGUUUCUGUGAUAUGACACUGAUACAAGUGCCCCGCCUCUACAAAAGGACGAAAAUCUGUCACAUCCACACUUUUAGAUGCACAUACAUACAUAUGUCUCACGAGAAGGGACGUUCUCGUUUUAUGAUUAUUUAAAUCUGCAUAACCUGUCCAUUGAAAAUGGUAAAAAGUGGCAAAUUUUGAAAUUGAUGGGUUGUAUCGAGUCUAAAUUAAAAUUGCCUUUGAAGAUUUUGACUUUAAUACCCUUGUUUUCGCGCUUUCAACGUCUGCUGAUACAGAGGUGCUUUGCAUUAUAAGAAAGUGCGAAUAACAUUAAACAACUUGCAGCUUGAACUUAGAAAUAUUAACGGGGAGGAACGUGUGAGACGCUUCAUACGCGUCACAACUUCUAUACACGCUACUUAGUUAAAUAGCUGCACAUUAUUUUAUUUCUCGAAUUUUACAUUUUACAUUAAUCUUACAUCUGUUACCUACAUCUACAUCACUUCUCACGUCAACACGUUAUAUUAGCUCGCACCCUCCCUCUCAGAGUGUGGAGGCCACUGCAAAUUAAUUCCUUCAUUCUGGCUAUAAUAAGGAUCCAAUCUAUUCCCAAUUAUUUGAUCUGAUAAAUAUGGCCAUUCCCUACGGAAUGACAUAUUUUGUUUUCUCUUAUCUUCUGGAUACAGCAUAUUUUUGGACUUGUUGGGGCGGGGCGAAAUUAUGAAAUACACUUGUAACAGUGUGAGCAUACAUAAGUCUGGAUGCUAACGAUGGUAGCCUUAUCUCUUAUGUGUUCUGAAAACUCGGAGCUCAUAGGGACGGACAAAUAGUUAUGGGUAUAUCGACUCGGCUUUGACACUGAUCCAAUUGGUCUUUUUAUUCGGUUAUCUGAUAGAAAUGGCUAUUUUCUACCGAAUUGCGUUUUUACUUUUCCCUUAACUUAACUUAACUUUUUUCGCUCUUCUGUAGCGGCGAAAGGGGGCGGGCCGAGUACUAAUAUAAGAAAAACCCUUGUAUCAGUGUGAUAUAACAGCAGUCUGCAGGAAAAAUUUGGUGCCUCUAGCUCUUAUAGUCUCUGAGAACUAGCCGACAAACUGAGACAGCUAUUGAUGCUUAUCAAGAAUGUAUAUACUUAAUGGGGUCGGAAACGUUUUCUUCUGUGCGUUACAUAUGUACAUCCACUUUUGUUCAUAAAUAUUUACUCUUCGAUUGCCGGGUAUAAAAACAAUAAACUGUGUAUGUAGCAUAAAAGCAGCAUCAUAGAAUCAGUGUAAUAAACAAACAUUAACAAAAGAACAUGCUUAGAUACACGUAUUUUCAAGAUUCCUUAUAUUUAUUUUAUUUUAGGCUGCUUUGGAAUACGCACUGCUAAAUGGACUGUUCAUUAUUAUUCACUGUGAUUUCGUUAAACACUACGUUGAAAAACACGAGCCAAAAUAUUCAAAGUAUAUACUUAAAUAAUAUAAAAAUUCAUAUGAUUUGUAGAAAACCAGGUUAAUAAAUGAAAUAGAUAAAGUUAAAAAAUUAUGUUUUUAUUUAUUAGAUGACAUCGACAUCGACAAUUGUGGUAUUGUUAUAUUUACAAUGUAAUCAAAACACAUUGCUUCUGCAUUAUUGUUAGAUAGUUAUAUUGUUGGGCUACUAAGCUUUUUCAGUAUCCUAGUUUUGCGAGAAUAUUAACGAGAUGAUUGUGGGUCAGUUUAUAUCGUGCUUAUAGCUGAUAAUAGUAUGUACUGCGAUACAUGCUGACGUCGAGAGUUGGUUGGUUGGUAGCUGUGAGGAUAUUGUCCGACGAUGCAAUCUCCAGUUGAUUCGUGUCUUGGAAUCCAUCUUCUGUGGCAGCAUAUAGGCACGCGUAUGUCAGUUGAGUGCAUCCAAAAUCUCCCGGUGCCUUGUUGAGCACAAUAAUCUCCGUAAUGUGUGCUUGAAAAAAUAUAUGUUUAUUAUUGAAACGCAGCAAUCGAACCGAAUAAAAGGCCGCAUCUGAGAGACUGGAGCGAAGAUGUUGAAACUUCUCGAUUUCAUUGAGAUCUGCAUCAGUAAGCUAACCAUUAUGAUUGUAUGAUUUUCAAAAUGGUUUGGUAGGGUGGUGGAAUGAGCAGCUACGCGCAAGUGGCCUAGUUCGAGAGCUGCCAGGAACUCAGCUUUAAACCAGAUGAAAAGCGUAUCACAGGUCUCGCAGCACUCAAGCUGUCGAUUUAUUGCACGAGAAUUAUUCUCUAAGCCUCAGCCAUUUAUCAACCAUCGCAAUAUUUCCGGCCGCGACUGUAUUCGGAUCUUUGUCCAUGCUACCACUAAGCAAACAAAACAAAAAGUAGAACAAAAAUAUCCUGUGUCCCUUAUAUGUUUACCUGGUACUCAAAGAGCAACGAUUAGGAACGUGUGAGAGGCCUCUUACGCCUCACAACUUUAUACCCGGUACUUAGUCGGUAUGUCC